rnacentral:rRNA from 1 species
GACAGAGGGUGCAAACGUUGUUCGGAAUUACUGGGCGUAAAGCGCGUGUAGGCGGCCCUGCAAGUCGGGUGUGAAAUCCCACGGCUCAACCGUGGAAGUGCACUCGAAACUGCAGGGCUAGAGUCCUGGAGAGGAAGGUGGAAUGCUUGGUGUAGAGGUGAAAUUCGUAGAUAUCAAGCGGAACACCGGUGGCGAAGGCGGCCUUCUGGACAGUGACGUGACGCUGAGACGCGAAAGCGUGGGGAGCAAACAGGG